GUGUUCCUAGAAUUCCUCUAACCAUUUCAGUAAGGAAUUCAUCAUUUAUAUGGAUUCUCCUUAUUGAAGUGUUUGGGGGAACUCCAGGAAUCAC